UUUACAGCAGUGAGGAUUGCAGUUCUCUCUCAAUUCCCAGAGCAGCAUAGAUACAAGUUUCCUAACAAAGCUUUACUGAUCUGCCACAGUUCUUAUUGGAGGAACUACCUUUAGUGGGGAGGGUUGUUCAGUUUCCACACCCAUUCAGUCCUUGGCUUCU
rnacentral:sRNA from 1 species